UGGAAACAGGGUCAAUAGUAACUGGAC
rnacentral:piRNA from 1 species